rnacentral:rRNA from 1 species
AACGUACGCUGGCGGCACGCCUAACACAUGCAAGUCGAACGCAGUAGCAAUACUGAGUGGCAGACGGGUGAGUAACAUGUGGGAAUCUGCCUUGUGGUUCAGGACAACAUUGGGAAACCGAUGCUAAUACUGGAUAAGCCCUUACGGGGAAAGUUUUAAUGCCAUAAGAUGAGCCCGCAUUUGAUUAGUUAGUUGGUGAGGUAAUGGCUCACCAAGACAAUGAUCAAUAGCUGAUCUGAGAGGAUGAUCAGCCACACUGGGACUGAGACACGGCCCAGACUCCUACGGGAGGCAGCAGUGGGGAAUCUUGCACAAUGGAGGAAACUCUGAUGCAGCGAUGCCGCGUGAGUGAAGAA